AGCGAACGCUGGCGGCAGGCUUAACACAUGCAAGUCGAACGCCCCGCAAGGGGAGUGGCAGACGGGUGAGUAACACGUGGGAACGUACCCUUUGGUUCGGAAUAACUUGGGGAAACUCAAGCUAAUACCGGAUAAGCCCUUAUGGGGAAAGGUUUACUGCCGAAGGAUCGGCCCGCGUCUGAUUAGCUAGUUGGUGAGGUAAUGGCUCACCAAGGCGACGAUCAGUAGCCGGUCUGAGAGGAUGAUCAGCCACACUGGGACUGAGACACGGCCCAGACUCCUACGGGAGGCAGCAGUGGGGAAUAUUGGACAAUGGGGGCAACCCUGAUCCAGCCGUGCCGCGUGAGUGAUGAAGGCCUUAGGGUUGUAAAGCUCUUUUACCCGGGACGAUAAUGACUGUACCGGGAGAAUAAGCCCCGGCUAACUUCGUGCCAGCAGCCGCAGUAA
rnacentral:rRNA from 1 species